UACAGAGACUGCAAGCGUUGUUCGGAUUCAUUGGGCGUAAAGGGUCCGUAGGCGGUCGGUUAAGUCGGAUGUGAAAUCUCGUGGCCUAACCACGAGCGGUCAUUCGAAACUAAUCGGCUAGAGGGCUGGAGAGGAGACUGGAAUUGUCGGUGUAGCGGUGAAAUGCGCAGAUAUCAGGAGGAACACCGGUGGCGAAGGCGGGUCUCUGGGCCGUAACUGACGCUGAGGAGCGAAAGCGUGGGGAGCGAACAGG
rnacentral:rRNA from 1 species